rnacentral:rRNA from 1 species
CUUGACAUGUCCGGUAUGGUUUCCAGAGAUGGAUUCCUUCAGUUAGGCUGGCCGGAACACAGGUGCUGCAUGGCUGUCGUCAGCUCGUGUCGUGAGAUGUUGGGUUAAGUCCGCAACGAGCGCAACCCUCGCCCUUAGUUGCCAUCAUUUAGUUGGGCACUCUAGGGGGACUGCCGGUGAUAAGCCGAGAGGAAGGUGGGGAUGACGUCAAGUCCUCAUGGCCCUUACGGGCUGGGCUACACACGUGCUACAAUGGCGGUGACAGUGGGAUGCUAAGGGGCGACCCCUCGCAAAUCUCAAAAAGCCGUCUCAGUUCGGAUUGCGCUCUGCAACUCGAGCGCAUGAAGGUGGAAUCGCUAGUAAUCGUAGAUCAGAACGCUACGGUGAAUACGUUCCCGGGCCUUGUACACACCGCCCGUCACACCAUGGGAGUUGGUUCUACCUGAAGGCGUUUUGCUAACCGCAAGGGGGCAGACGACCACGGUAGGGUCAGCGACUGGGGUGAAGUCGUAACAAGGUAAGCGUAGUGCU